GAUGAACGCUGGCGGUAUGCCUAACACAUGCAAGUCGUACGAGAGUUUUUAACUCUAGUGGCGGACGGGUGAGUAACACGUGAGAAUUUGCCUUUAGGAGGGGGACAACAAUUGGAAACGAAUGCUAAUACCCCAUAUGCUUUCGAGUGAAAUGGAUUUUAUCCGCCUAGAGAGAAGCUCGCGGCUGAUUAGCUUGUUGGUAAGGUAAGAGCUUACCAAGGCGACGAUCAGUAUCUGGUUUGAGAGGACGAUCAGACACACUGGAACUGAGACACGGUCCAGACUCCUACGGGAGGCAGCAGUGGGGAAUUUUCCGCAAUGGGCGAAAGCCUGACGGAGCAAUACCGCGUGAGGGAAGAAUGCCUAUGGGUUGUAAACCUCUUUUUUCUAGGGAGGAAUAAAAUAGACGUGUACCUGAAGAAUAAGCAUCGGCUAACUCCGUG
rnacentral:rRNA from 1 species